rnacentral:rRNA from 1 species
GACGAACGCUGGCGGCGUGCCUAAUACAUGCAAGUCGAACGAGAGCGUCCGGUGCUUGCACUGGUCAAUCUAGUGGCGAACGGGUGAGUAACACGUGGGUAACCUGCCCAUCAGAGGGGGAUAACAUCCGGAAACGGAUGCUAAAACCGCAUAGGUCUUCGAACCGCAUGGUUUGAAGAGGAAAAGAGGCGCAAGCUUCUGCUGAUGGAUGGACCCGCGGUGCAUUAGCUAGUUGGUGAGGUAACGACUCACCAAGGCCGUGAUGCAUAGCCGACCUGAGAGGGUGAUCGGCCACAUUGGGACUGAGACACGGCCCAAACUCCUACGGGAGGCAGCAGUAGGGAAUCUUCCGCAAUGGACGCAAGUCUGACGGAGCAACGCCGCGUGAGUGAAGAAGGUUUUCGGAUCGUAAAACUCUGUUGUUAGAGAAGAACAAGUGCUAGAGUAACUGUUAGCGCCUUGACGGUAUCUAACCAGAAAGCCACGGCUAACUACGUG